GGAAGACUUUAUUAAAUUUUCUACAGAUCCCUAAAGUUAUAAUUUUAUUUAUAUAAUUACGAUUAGAUAAUGAUCAACGUUUAGUAAAUUAGUGUGUUUGUAUAGGUCAGCUGAAUUGAACAUAUACCAGUUCUAACCAGGCUAGUAAUUAUGGGUUAACCAGUCUGUAAGUAGAAUCUACAUAAAUUAUUUUUAAAUAAAUAUUUAAAU
rnacentral:misc_RNA from 1 species